UUAGCCCAGAGCCGGAGGAGCAGUGUCGAUCUCCCCAUCUGCCUACCACUAGCCAGGUUUGUAAAUUUUUUUUUUUUUUUUUUUAAGUUCUACAUAGUUUAGGAUCUCAACAUUAAUUUAAAUUCUUGUUUUUAGGCAUCUUCUGUUACAACAAGACAGAAAUCAAAGAGCACUUCAUCAAGUCAAAGUACAGUAGCGGUAUCCCAAAAAAAGAAAAGAUCAAAGGGAAAUUAGGGUGAGAUGGUGUCUGACUUUCCAACUGAGGAAUUAAUCCUAUUAGUACAAGAUCGGCCAGCACUGUGGGAUCAUACCCAUGAAUAACACCCUGACAAUUAUCACACAAGAAAGAUGUGGCAGGAAGUGGGGGAAUGUCUGAUUCCAAACUAUGUAACAUUGUCUUCGUCAAUCAAGACUAAAUUAGGACAACAUAAAGUCUUUCAGCAGCAUUAUAGACAGAACAGACAGAGGGAUACACACUACAAUCAGAAACUGCUCCACCUGUGGAAGGAGAACCUUAUAAAACUCGCAUGUCUGUGACAGAUCGAAUCCAGCAUCAAAUUAUGCAUGCCAGUAGACGACAACGAAAAGACCAUGAUUUUAGAGAUGGCCAUGGGAUUUCAAGAAAUAGAGGACAGCUUUGAGAGUAGACUCGUGUCCCAGGAUUUAAGGAUUUUGCGUUUGGAGGGAAGGUGGAGUGGUGAAAUAGAAAAUGCAGACCGUCAAUUCCUUCUCUCACUACUUCCUGGUAUGUCUUCAAUGACAUACUCUGAAAAGUUAUAUUUCCAGGGCAAAAUUAUAAGUUUAAUGGCAGAGAUAGACAAAAAGCACUCCCAAAAACCCACAUUUCAUGAACCAUCGCCAAUGUAACAAUUUCAAACGCUAGAUCCCCAGACACGUGUGCCUCCAAGUACACCACAGCGUUAAAUUCAAUAUGGUCAUCCUCAAAUUGUACAAACACAGUAUCUCAAUGUUCGUUCCUACUCUCAUCAAUAAGUCCAGGAAAGCACACCUGUUCGGGGAUCUGAGGUUGAAUUCCAAAAUUUGUAGCUACUUUUGUCUUUGCACAAUAUGAACCAGAUUUCUCAAAUAGUGUGUGAGAAACACUGUUGUGAAUUUCCAAAAGCAAAUGCUAUUGGAAACUCACUCCACUGUUUCUCACACAGUUCGAUAAAUCUGGUUCACUAGGGAUCUUUUCACACAGUGAGAUUUGGUAGGUUGAAAACAUUUUGUUAAAUUAUCUAAAGCACUUUAUCAACGAUUCUCUACUAUCUCAAUCUGGGCGUUUCCCAACCAGUGGGCUUCUAGCUUUUGUCAAACUACAACUCUCAGUAUUGUUAGUGCGUGGAGAUUCUUUGAAUUGUAUUCUGACAACAGCUGUAGGCCCCCUAAAAGAGUAUUGUUCUGCCAAGAACGCGAGUCCGAUGUGAAGAACUCACCUUCCUCUGUUCCCCCGUUGAACCUUUACAGCUGUUCGGUCCCCUUUGGUGCGGUCUUCUUCCUCCUUUCGUGUGACUGGAUCGUGACACUGAGCUCAGCCUAUCACCUGCCACAGCGAUGUACAAACUUUGCCGGUGAUAGACUGAGCGCAGUGUGACGAUCCGUGCACACAAAAGAAGGAAGAAGACUGGACCGAAGAGCUGUAGCAUUGCAACUAAGAAGCGGGGGGAAGGUGACAGACUCAAGUUCUUGGCAGAUCAAUACUCUUAACACUGGGAUGGAGAUUGUAGAGAGUCAUGGAAUUAUAUGCACUAGUAUGCCCCUCUUGCUGUUCCUUGUUGUUGCAACAGUUUUAUAUAGUUGUAUACCUCUUAAACAUUCUAUAUAGGGUGAAUUUUCUACAGGGCACUAUAUGCCAACAUUGUAAUAUGAUUUACGAAACUUUUUUGUGAAGGUUUAAAAAAUGCCAGCAGAAUUUCUAUCUGUAUUGUUUGUUUCUCAAAGGAUUUGUUUGAAUAUUCUUUGAGUUUACUCAAUUGUGGGUAAUGUUUACCUUAUAUUGUACAUGUUUUUUCACUUUUAUAAAAGGUAAAGAAAUUAGAAAAAAGAAUGUAUUUCCAUUAUUUUAACCCCUUAAGGACUCAGCCCAUUUUGGCCUUAAGGACUCAGACAAUUUAAUUUUUACGUUUUCAUUUUUUCCUCCUCGCCUUCUAAAAAUCAUAACUUUUAUAUUUUCAUCCACAGACUAGUAUGAUGGCUUAUUUUUUGCGUGACCAGUUGUCCUUUGUAAUGACAUCACUCAUAUCAUAAAAUGUAUGGCGCAACCAAAAAACACUAUUUUUGUGGGGAAAUUAAAACGAAAAACGCAAUUUUGCUAAUUUUGGAAUGUUUUGUUUUCAUGCCGUACAAUUUAUGGUAAAAAUGACGUGUGUUCUUUAUUCUGAGGGUCAAUACGAUGAAAAUGAUACCCAUUAUUAUAUACUUUUAUAUUAUUGUUGCGCUUAAAAAAAAUCACAAACUUUUUAACCAAAUUAGUACGUUUAUAAUCCCUUUAUUUUGAUGACCUCUAACUUUUUUAUUUUUCCGUAUAAGUGGCGGUAUGAGGGCUCAUUUUUUGCGCCAUGAUCUGUACUUUUUUUUGAUACCACAUUUGCAUAUAAAAAACUUUUAAUACACUUUUUAUAAUUUUUUUUUAAAUAAAAUGUAUUAAAAAAGUAGGAAUUU